CAGUUGGAACGGCUGCUAAUACCGGAUGAGCCGAGAGGUAAAAGAUUUAUUGACUAAAGAAGUACUCGCGUCUGAUUAGCUAGUUGGUGGGGUAAGAGCCUACCAAGGCAACGAUCAGUAGCUGUUCUGAGAGGAAGACCAGCCACACUGGGACUGAGACACGGCCCAGACUCCUACGGGAGGCAGCAGUGGGGAAUUUUCCGCAAUGGGCGAAAGCCUGACGGAGCAAUACCGCGUGUGGGAGGAAGGCCCUUGGGUCGUAAACCACUUUUCUUAGGGAAGAAGCUCUGACGGUACCUAAGGAAUAAGCCUCGGCUAACUCCGUGCCAGCAGCCGCGGUAAUACGGAGGAGGCAAGCGUUAUCCGGAAUUAUUGGGCGUAAAGAGUCCGUAGGUUGUUUCUCAAGUCUGCUGUCAAAGGCGGAAGCUCAACUUCCGAAAGGCAGUGGAAACUGAGAGACUAGAGAAUGGUAGGGGUAGAGGGAAUUCCCAGUGUAGCGGUGAAAUGCGUAGAGAUUGGGAAGAACACCGGUGGCGAAAGCGCUCUACUGGGCCAUAACUGACACUGAG
rnacentral:rRNA from 1 species